rnacentral:rRNA from 1 species
UACAGAGACCUCAAGCGUUAUCCGGAUUCAUUGGGCGUAAAGAGCAUGUAGGCGGAUAUGCUAGUCAGAUGUCAAAUCUUCGAGCUUAACUCGGAAACUGCAUUUGAAACGGCAUAUCUGGAGUCAGUGAGAGACCAGUGGAACAUAUGGUGUAGCAGUGAAAUGCGUUGAUAUCAUAUGGAACACCAAAGGCGAAGGCAUCUGGUUGGCACUGUACUGACGCUGAGAUGCGAAAGCGUGGGUAGCGAAUGGG